rnacentral:rRNA from 1 species
GACGAACGCUGGCGGCGUGCUUAACACAUGCAAGUCGAACGGAAAGGCCCGGCGUUUGUGGGUUUCUCGAUUGGCGAACGGGUGAGUAACACGUGAGGAACCUGCCCUUGACAGUGUGAUAACUUCAGGGAACUGGGGCGAAUAUCGGGUAGGAUCUCCUGCUGCGUGUGGUGGGUUGGAAAGAUUCGGCGGUUGGGGAUGGACUCGAGGCUUAUCAGCUUGUUGGUGGGGUAGUGGCUUACCAAGGCUUUGACGGGUAGCCGGCCUGAGAGGGUGACCGGCCACAUUGGGACUGAGAUACGGCGCAGAAUCCUACGGGAGGCAGCAGUGGAGAAUAUUGCACAAUGGGCGGAAGCCUGAUGCAGAAACGCCGCGUGCGGGAUGACGGCCUUCGGGUUGUAAACCGAUUUCGCCUGUGACGAAGCGUGAGUGACGGUAAUGAGUAAAGAAGCAACGGCUAACUACGUG